UGUAAGAUCGACGUCUUCCAGGUGCAC
rnacentral:piRNA from 1 species